AUCGAACGCUGGCGGCAGGCCUAACACAUGCAAGUCGAGCGGAUGAGUGGAGCUUGCUCCAUGAUUCAGCGGCGGACGGGUGAGUAAUGCCUAGGAAUCUGCCUGGUAGUGGGGGACAACGUUUCGAAAGGAACGCUAAUACCGCAUACGUCCUACGGGAGAAAGUGGGGGAUCUUCGGACCUCACGCUAUCAGAUGCGCCUAGGUCGGAUUAGCUAGUUGGUGAGGUAAAGGCUCACCAAGGCGACGAGCCGUAACUGGUCUGAGAGGAUGAUCCGUCACACUGGAACUGAGACACGGUCCAGACUCCUACGGGAGGCAGCAGUGGGGAAUAUUGGACAAUGGGCGAAAGCCUGAUCCAGCCAUGCCGCGUGUGUGAAGAAGGUCUUCGGAUUGUAAAGCACUUUAAGUUGGGAGGAAGGGCAGUAAGUUAAUACCUUGCUGUUUUGACGUUACCAACAGAAUAAGCACCGGCUAACUUCGUGCCAGCCGCCGCGGUAAUAC
rnacentral:rRNA from 1 species